rnacentral:rRNA from 1 species
AGUGAACGCUGGCGGUAGGCCUAACACAUGCAAGUCGAACGGCAGCACAGUAAGAGCUUGCUCUUACGGGUGGCGAGUGGCAGACGGGUGAGGAAUACAUCGGAAUCUACUUUUUCGUGGGGGAUAACGUAGGGAAACUUACGCUAAUACCGCAUACGACCUACGGGUGAAAGCAGGGGAUCUUCGGACCUUGCGCGAUUGAAUGAGCCGAUGUCGGAUUAGCUAGUUGGCGGGGUAAAGGCCCACCAAGGCGACGAUCCGUAGCUGGUCUGAGAGGAUGAUCAGCCACACUGGAACUGAGACACGGUCCAGACUCCUACGGGAGGCAGCAGUGGGGAAUAUUGGACAAUGGGCGCAAGCCUGAUCCAGCCAUACCGCGUGGGUGAAGAAGGCCUUCGGGUUGUAAAGCCCUUUUGUUGGGAAAGAAAAGCAGCAGGUUAAUACCCCGCUGUUCUGACGGUACCCAAAGAAUAAGCACCGGCUAACGUCGUG